CACGUAGGCGGUGACAUAAGUCGGUUGUGAAAUCCCUCGGCCUAACCCGAGGAACUGCGGCCGAUACUGUGUUGCUUGAGGAUCAGAGGGGUGCAUGGAAUUUCCGGUGGAGCGGUGAAAUGCGUUGAUAUCGGAAGGAACUCCGGCGGCGAAAGCGAUGCACUGGCUGAUUUCUGACGCUGAGGUGCGAAAGCCAGGGGAGCAAACGGGAUUAGAUACCCCGGUAGUCCUGGCCGUAAACGAUGGGUACUAGGUAGGGGGAUUUCAAACGUCUCUCUGCUGGAGUGAAUAUAUUAAGUACCCCGCCUGGGAAGUACAGUCGCAAGGCUGAA
rnacentral:rRNA from 1 species